rnacentral:rRNA from 1 species
GACGAACGCUGGCGGCGUGCCUAAUACAUGCAAGUAGAACGCUGAAGAGAGGAGCUUGCUCUUCUUGGAAGAGUUGCGAACGGGUGAGUAACGCGUAGGUAACCUGCCUUGUAGCGGGGGAUAACUAUUGGAAACGAUAGCUAAUACCGCAUAACAAUGGGUGACCCAUGUCAUUCAUUUGAAAGGGGCAACUGCUCCACUACAAGAUGGACCUGCGUUGUAUUAGCUAGUAGGUGAGGUAACGGCUCACCUAGGCGACGAUACAUAGCCGACCUGAGAGGGUGAUCGGCCACACUGGGACUGAGACACGGCCCAGACUCCUACGGGAGGCAGCAGUAGGGAAUCUUCGGCAAUGGGGGCAACCCUGACCGAGCAACGCCGCGUGAGUGAAGAAGGUUUUCGGAUCGUAAAGCUCUGUUGUAAGUCAAGAACGAGUGUGAGAGUGGAAAGUUCACACUGUGACGGUAGCUUACCAGAAAGGGACGGCUAACUACGUGCCAGCAGCCGCGGUAAUACGUAGGUCCCGAGCGUUGUCCGGAUUUAUUGGGCGUAAAGCGAGCGCAGGCGGUUUGAUAAGUCUGAAGUUAAAGGCUGUGGCUCAACCAUAGUUCGCUUUGGAAACUGUCAAACUUGAGUGCAGAAGGGGAGAGUGGAAUUCCAUGUGUAGCGGUGAAAUGCGUAGAUAUAUGGAGGAACACCGGUGGCGAAAGCGGCUCUCUGGUCUGUAACUGACGCUGAGGCUCGAAAGCGUGGGGGAGCGAACAGG